UUCCGCCCAAGCAGCAUGACGUAACAAACUCUAUAUAUUCAAAUGGCGCGGAACGCCGUUGCACAAUAUUCGUCGAGCGACAACCCUGCAUUUGACAAGCACGUUGUCCGUCUUUAGUACAAGCAGUUUGAGGCACACCCUCGGAAAGGGGCAACCUUAAAAGGAAGCAUCUGUUAUCUUGUGUGACACCCUCAUAACGGUCAUUGUGUUUGCGGAUUUUGCAAGCCGAGGUCGCUCUGCGAGGACUGCGGAAUCGAAAUGAGCAGAGCAGCAUGGAUACUGCUCCACCUUCUGUUGUUUACACUUGGGUGGAUUGUUAUGGCAGACUGCUUCGGCCUACGGAAGCCGCGUCUGCCACCAGUCUUUAGGGACGAGAACCAGUUGGUGCAGUAUCUGCAAGCCUUGGAUGACUAUUAUCUGCUUCUGGCAAAACCGAGGUUCGGCAGAAGCAUGGAACAGGAUGACAUUUUCCUACGACGUCGAAGAUUCAACCCGUAUUAAAGUUAUUGUUUUUAUGUUUUGCAACUCGGCUUUACCAAUUAAAAAUAUGCUCCAAAAUUGA